rnacentral:rRNA from 1 species
GACGAACGCUGGCGGCGUGCUUAACACAUGCAAGUCGAACGGUAAGGCCCUUCGGGGGUACACGAGUGGCGAACGGGUGAGUAACACGUGGGUGAUCUGCCCUGCACUUCGGGAUAAGCCUGGGAAACUGGGUCUAAUACCGGAUAGGACUCCUGGCUUCAUGGUUGGGGGUGGAAAGCUUUUGCGGUGUGGGAGGGGCGCGCGGCGUAUCAGCUUGUUGGGGGGGUAAUGGCCUACCAAGGCGACGACGGGUAGCCGGCCUGAGAGGGUGACCGGACACACUGGGACUGAGAUAGGGCCCAGACUCCUACGGGAGGCAGCAGUGGGGAAUAUUGCACAAUGGGCGCAAGCCUGAUGCAGCGACGCCGCGUGAGGGAUGACGGCCUUCGGGUUGUAAACCUCUUUCAGCUAUGACGAAGCGCAAGUGACGGUAGUAGCAGAAGAAGGACCGGCCAACUACGUGCCAGCAGCCGCCGUAA